rnacentral:rRNA from 1 species
GACGAACGUUGGCGGCGUGCUUAACACAUGCAAGUCGAACGGAAAGGCCCUGCUUUUGUGGGGUGCUCGAGUGGCGAACGGGUGAGUAACACGUGAGUAACCUGCCCUUGACUUUGGGAUAACUUCAGGAAACUGGGGCUAAUACCGGAUAGGAGCUCCUGCUGCAUGGUGGGGGUUGGAAAGUUUCGGCGGUUGGGGAUGGACUCGCGGCUUAUCAGCUUGUUGGUGGGGUAGUGGCUUACCAAGGCUUUGACGGGUAGCCGGCCUGAGAGGGUGACCGGCCACAUUGGGACUGAGAUACGGCCCAGACUCCUACGGGAGGCAGCAGUGGGGAAUAUUGCACAAUGGGCGGAAGCCUGAUGCAGCAACGCCGCGUGCGGGAUGACGGCCUUCGGGUUGUAAACCGCUUUCGCCUGUGACGAAGCGUGAGUGACGGUAAUGGGUAAAGAAGCACCGGCUAACUACGUGCCAGCAGCCGCGGUGAUACGUAGGGUGCGAGCGUUGUCCGGAUUUAUUGGGCGUAAAGGGCUCGUAGGUGGUUGAUCGCGUCGGAAGUGUAAUCUUGGGGCUUAACCCUGAGCGUGCUUUCGAUACGGGUUGACUUGAGGAAGGUAGGGGAGAAUGGAAUUCCUGGUGGAGCGGUGGAAUGCGCAGAUAUCAGGAGGAACACCAGUGGCGAAGGCGGUUCUCUGGGCCUUUCCUGACGCUGAGGAGCGAAAGCGUGGGGAGCGAACAGGCUUAGAUACCCUGGUAGUCCACGCUGUAAACGGUGGGUACUAGGUGUGGGGUCCAUUCCACGGGUUCCGUGCCGUAGCUAACGCUUUAAGUACCCCGCCUGGGGAGUACGGCCGCAAGGUUAAAACUCAAAGGAAUUGACGGGGCCCCGCACAAGCGGCGGAGCAUGCGGAUUAAUUCGAUGCAACGCGUAGAACCUUACCUGGGUUUGACAUGGAUCGGGAGUGCUCAGAGAUGGGUGUGCCUCUUUUGGGGUCGGUUCACAGGUGGUGCAUGCCUGUCGUCAGCUCGUGUCGUGAGAUGUUGGGUUAAGUCCCGCAACGAGCGCAACCCUUGUUCACUGUUGCCAGCACGUUAUGGUGGGGACUCAGUGGAGACCGCCGGGGUCAACUCGGAGGAAGGUGGGGAUGACGUCAAGUCAUCAUGCCCCUUAUGUCCAGGGCUUCACGCAUGCUACAAUGGCUGGUACAGAGAGUGGCGAGCCUGUGAGGGUGAGCGAAUCUCGGAAAGCCGGUCUCAGUUCGGAUUGGGGUCUGCAACUCGACCUCAUGAAGUCGGAGUCGCUAGUAAUCGCAGAUCAGCAACGCUGCGGUGAAUACGUUCCCGGG